GAUGAAGAACGCAGCGAAAUGCGAUAAGUAAUGUGAAUUGCAGAAUUCAGUGAAUCAUCGAAUCUUUGAACGCACAUUGCGCCCGCCAGUAUUCUGGCGGGCAUGCCUGUUCGAGCGUCAUUUCAACCAUCAAGCCCCGGGCUUGUGUUGGGGACCUGCGGCUGCCGCAGGCCCUGAAAAGCAGUGGCGGGCUCGCUGUCACACCGAGCGUAGUAGCAUACAUCUCGCUCUGGGCGUGCUGCGGGUUCCGGCCGUUAAACCACCUUUUAACCCAAGGUUGACCUCGGAUCAGGUAGGAAGACCCGCUGAACUUAAGCAUAUCAUAAGCGGAGGA
rnacentral:misc_RNA from 1 species